rnacentral:rRNA from 1 species
CAGUAGCCGCGGGAAUACGUAGGGUGCGAGCGUUAAUCGGAAUUACUGGGCGUAAAGCGUGCGCAGGCGGUUCGUUAAGACAGAUGUGAAAUCCCCGGGCUUAACCUGGGAACUGCAUUUGUGACUGGCGAGCUAGAGUAUGGCAGAGGGGGGUAGAAUUCCACGUGUAGCAGUGAAAUGCGUAGAGAUGUGGAGGAAUACCGAUGGCGAAGGCAGCCCCCUGGGCCAAUACUGACGCUCAUGCACGAAAGCGUGGGGAGCAAACAGGAUUAGAUACCCCGGUAGUCCCUGUCUCUUAUAC